GGGGCUCUGCCUGCACCGCUGCCCUCAGAUCAGCACUGGAACCUCUGGCAAUUACCUGCAGCUGAUGCGUUCUGGAGACUCGCCCUCUGGAAACAAGGUGCCAACCGCAGAGAUAGUGAAUUUCUACAUUCAACAUACAAGUGGGAAUUCCGAUUUGCAGGAGGUUGCUAACUGAGCUACAGAAAGCAGGAGGAGGAAGACAUAGAUGCCAUCAGCUCAAGCAAUCUACAAAUACUGCUGGUUAUUUUUGUUUUAUGACAAGAGUUGUUUCUGAACGGACAACCACGAGCUACCACCACCACCAGCAGCGCCCCGAAAACCGGAACUGGCCUCAAAUGUACUUUUAAUUCUUUUGCUCUGUCCCCACGCCCUCUGCAACUUUUGUUCUCCAACUGUACUUGUUCCGGUAUGAAACCUGGCAAAUAGCAAAAAUCUUGAAACAAGAA
rnacentral:lncRNA from 1 species